rnacentral:piRNA from 1 species
UGAUAGGUCCUGUUGAUCUACCUCCAAC